AUUUGAGGCUCUUCUUGUUUCAGAUGUUACUAGUUAGUGGUCAGCCACCGUCUGUCCUUCAGCAACUGUGCACGCUGCCGUUUUCGUACUUCUCGGUUGAAGAGUUCUCCAGAAUUUUGUAUCCUACUCUUUUAGCUUGUUGUGUCGGCAACGAACAUACAACAGCAAUUUUGAAACAAGAGCUUUCAUAUGAGACUCUCGAAGACUUCAGAAAAUCGGAAUACGGUAAGGAACAUCGUUUAGUGAAAUUACUUUCUAACAAGUGAUUCGAUUAACAAAUAAUAAAGGGCUAUUCCGGCGCCUUUAACACAUUUUUAUUUUUCCAAAGCUUGUUCAAUAAGAUCCGUAAAAUCUGACAUUUAUAUACGAAACAGUUAUAAACAAAUGACUGCAUACGUUUAUGUUGCACACAAGUUAAUAUUACAAUGUAUUAUUUUUGUCGUAGAGCGUUUGUUUAAAUUACGUUUAGGGUUUGCGUAAAAUUGUAUUGUGAUAGAAACGGAUUUUUAAAAUCGUGAAAACGUACUUAGAACAUGAGUUGAUCUAUUAUGUGAUUUAUUACGUGUAGGUUAUUAAAAUUAUGAUUUAACUUUGUGUUAACGAAUGUAUAUUACUUAUUUUAUUGCAUGUAAAAAUCGGAACUUCUUAAAACAAAAAAUAUAAAUACAAUUAAUGCUCGCAUUUAAACUAACGUGCUUUUUAUUUUCUCUAAUUAUACCCAAAAGUUAGUUACCUUUGCCGAAGCAGUAUUUUGUCCUUCAGUGGCUCGUAAUGUAUCUAUAAUGUGUACUAAAACAUUAACCUUUGAAAUUAACCAGGACCAGAUUAAUCACUAUAGUAAUACCAAGGGUCAACCAGAGUAUUUUCUAGAUUAGUGAUUCUAACCCUUCACGGUACACUUUUGGUAAUUUAAAAUUUAUUAAAGAAAUAUCAAGACAUAAUAACAUAUAGGAGAUGUAUUGGGUUCCUUUUAUAUUUAGUGUUCCAAAUCAAUUGGUAUUUUAGAAUACCUCUAACACGUAUAAAAUGUUUCGGAAAUAUCUCAGAAUUUGUCCUUAUAAUCCAGAUGAUGGAUGAGAUUAAUUUGGUCUGGAUUUAACACAAACAAUUUACCCUUUUCUUGGUGGGUUUAAACAAUAGGUAUUGCAACCCUUUGAUUUUUAAUUAAGUAUCUAACGAACUAUUAAUUUAAUUAAUGCUAUUAUGUAUGUCUAUCUGCAAUGUUUUUCGUUUAUAAUGCAAUGAAAUAAAAAAAUACAUGGUUAAUUAAAUAUGCUUAGUCAUAAUUAAAUUUUCGAGGUAAUCAAUAAUUUGCGCUUUAAUUACUUUAAUCGAUUGUGAUG